CUGCAAACUGUCUGAGACUACUCCAUUUAGACCAUAAUCAAUUAUAAGCGCCCCUCCUCCAUCAGAACUUAUUCGUUUGGCAAUUGUAUGAGUCAAAUCCAUUCCUUUUGCGCAAACUUCAAUGUGGUUAAGCUUAUCAAUUUCUUCAAUUGCAGCCCACUUGCAGCGCUUCAUUAAAUAGAGAGUUGCAGGAGUUGGCUGCGGAGAUAGAACAAAACGAAACGUUGAAUCCUCCACAAUAUCAACCAUUUUCUCACACCAGCCAUGAGAAGCCCUCUGAAACUGAUGAAUUGGUAGAGCAUCAUAAAACUCAUGGGCAAUGAUGAUUACUGGCAAUCCUGAUGGAACCUGCUCCAAUGAAGCAUGCCAUGAUAUAGGCACUCCUGCCAAUGUGCUAAUAUUCCUUUUCUCAACACCUUCAC
rnacentral:misc_RNA from 1 species